rnacentral:rRNA from 1 species
AGGAUUAACGCUGGCGGCGUGCAUGAGACAUGCAAGUCGAACGGACACUCACGGGCUUGCUCGUGAGUGUUAGUGGCGGACGGCUGAGUAACGCGUAGGUGACUUGCCCUGAAGUGGGGAAUAACUGCCCGAAAGGUGGCUAAUACCGCAUGUGGUGAUGCGUUCAAGUCGCAUCAGUAAAGCCGCAAGGCGCGUUCAGGAGACGGCCUGCGUCCGAUUAGCUCGUUGGUGGGUAACGGCUCACCAAGGCGACGAGUCGGUAGGUAGUCUGGA